GAUCAUGGCUCAGGAUGAACGCUAGCGACAGGCUUAACACAUGCAAGUCGAGGGGCAGCAUAAAAGUAGCAAUACUUGGGUGGCCGGCCGGCGCACGGGUGUGUAACGCGUAUGCAACCUACCUAUCAGAGGGGAAUAACCCGGCGAAAGUCGGACUAAUACCGCAUAAAACAGGGGCACCGCAUGGUGAUAUUUGUUAAAGAAAUUCGCUGAUAGAUGGGCAUGCGUUCCAUUAGGUAGUUGGUGAGGUAACGGCUCACCAAGCCGACGAUGGAUAGGGGAACUGAGAGGUUGGUCCCCCACACUGGUACUGAGACACGGACCAGACUCCUACGGGAGGCAGCAGUGAGGAAUAUUGGUCAAUGGGCGGGAGCCUGAACCAGCCAAGUCGCGUGAAGGAAAGAAGGAUCUAUGGUUCGUAAACUUCUUUUGCAGGGGAAUAAAGUGCAGGACGUGUCCUGUUUUGUAUGUACCCUGAGAAUAAGGAUCGGCUAACUCCGUGCCAGCAGCAGC
rnacentral:rRNA from 1 species